rnacentral:lncRNA from 1 species
GAAGGAUUCUAACAGUCUAGCAAACAUUGAGAUGACUAAGAACUAACAACCAGAGUCCUGUUACUGCAGUGAGGUUAAGGCUAGUUCUGAGCUCCACGUUUCCUGGUGCUGGAAUCCUCCCUUACCUAGCUAGUGUCACUACUGGAAGAGAGAUGCUUCAUUCCUAUUCCUCUACCCACCCAACAGAUACUGUGAGGUCUUACCUUGGUGAUUCCAGAAUUCUAAAAUAAAUGGAAAGAGCCUCAACUAUCAAACUGACAAUGCAAUAGUUUUCUGAAAUGCUGAAAGAAAAGAAAGGCUUGGAUCAUGAAGAACUCAAAAGUAGGACUGAAAUUUUUUCUCCAAGUAGCAAGUCCUUGAUGAAAGACUUGAUUGGCUCAGCUUUAACCAGAGGCCAUUCCCAGGACCAUUCAAAAAACCAGAGGUGGGGCCAGGUUUUUCCUGGCAUGACUUUCAUUUCUCAGAAAGGGAUAAAGAAAGUCCCUGGCAACCUGAGCACUGCAGUCUUCCUUUGGCACCAGCUAAAAGUCUAA